rnacentral:misc_RNA from 1 species
CAACCAUCAAGCCCCAGGGCUUGUGUUGGGGACCUGCGGCUGCCGCAGGCCCCGAAAACCAGUGGCGGGCUCGCUGUCACCCCGAGCGUAGUAGUUUACACCUCGCCCAGGGCGUGCCGCGGGUUCCCGGCCGUUAAAACCCCCCAUACCACAA